rnacentral:ncRNA from 1 species
GCCCCCAGCUAGGGGUCUUCGCCGGACAUUUCAUGGGGCGGAGUGAGAUACACCCUUCGAACCUGUACGGGUAAUGCCGUCGUAGGGAAGCAUCUCGCUGAUGCU